GGCCCGUUUUUCUCGCGGUCAGGAUCUCGGGUUUUCACCCCGAGCGCGGGGGGUUCGACUCCCCCACGGGUCA
rnacentral:tRNA from 1 species